CGGUGGAGCAUGUGGUUUAAUUCGACGCAACGCGAAGAACCUUACCAGGGCUUGACAUCCCCUGACCGCGUAUGAAAGUACGUUUUCACCCUCGGGUGACAGGGAGACAGGUGGUGCAUGGUUGUCGUCAGCUCGUGUCGUGAGAUGUUGGGUUAAGUCCCGCAACGAGCGCAACCCCUACGUUUAGUUGCUAACGCGUGAAGGCGAGCACUCUAGACGAACUGCCGUUGACAAAACGGAGGAAGUGGGGAUGACGUCAAAUCAUCAUGCCCCUUAUGUUCUGGGCUACACACGUGCUACAAUGGCCGGUACAGACGGACGCAAAGCCGCGAGGUGGAGCAAAUCCUAAAAAGCCGGUCUCAGUUCGGAUUGCAGGCUACAAUUCGCCUGCAUGAAGUCGGAAUCGCUAGUAAUCGCAGGUCAGCAUACUGCGGUGAAUACGUUCCCGGGCCUU
rnacentral:rRNA from 1 species